CACUCCCUGGCAUGUUCGCCAGUCGGCGAUGACCCUCUCCCGAUAAGCAACACCAUGGAGGCUACACGUAGUGCCGGUGUGCAUGUCCGCCUGACGGAAAGCCUUAAGGUACUCUGUAGUCGCCACCUUGAACUCUCGGGUUCAAGGGCCUACGCUGGCAGCGGCAUGCUGGGGAGCCU
rfam:Pseudomonas stutzeri strain 28a24, complete genome.